GUGCCAGCAGCCGCGGUAAUACGGAGGGAGCUAGCGUUGUUCGGAAUUACUGGGCGUAAAGCGCACGUAGGCGGCUAUUCAAGUCAGAGGUGAAAGCCCGGGGCUCAACCCCGGAACUGCCUUUGAAACUAGAUAGCUCGAAUCAUGGAGAGGUGAGUGGAAUUCCGAGUGUAGAGGUGAAAUUCGUAGAUAUUCGGAAGAACACCAGUGGCGAAGGCGGCUCACUGGACAUGUAUUGACGCUGAGGUGCGAAAGCGUGGGGAGCAAACAGGAUUAGAAACCCUGGUAGUCC
rnacentral:rRNA from 1 species